UUUGCAUUUUUUCUCUUUACUGGUAUGUGACCUGACAUCACAUCUGGAUUGUAACUUUCUUGAAAAAAUGGGGAAGCCGUGGUGCUUGACACCAGUUGACCGUGUAAGAGUCAAUUAUCUUGGUAGGCAAAGCCUGAGUCCCGUCCUUUCUCUCUCCUGCCCGGGGCAGAGUGAGCUUCACCACUCGAUCCACCUUCUCCACAAACUACUGGUUCCUGGGCUCCAUCCAGGUGCCCAGCUACGGUGCCCAGCUGGUCAGCAGUGUGGCCAGUGUCUAUGCAAGGGCCGGAGGCUCUGGUCCCCACAUAUCUGUGUCCCGCUCCACCAGUUUCUGGGGUGACAUGGGGGCCAGGGGCCUGGCUGUGGGGAUGGCAGGAAUGGGAGGGAUCCUGAAUGAGAAGGAGACUAUGCAAAGUCUGAACGACCGCCUAGCCUCCCACCUGGACAGAGUGAGGGACCUGGAAACCAAGAACUGGAAGCUGGAGAGCAAAAUCCAGGAGCAGCUGGAGAAGAAGGGACCCUAAGUCAGAGACUGGAGCCAUUACUUCAAGACCAUCGAGGACCUGAGGGCUCGGAUCUUCGCAAAUACUUGGACAAUGCCCGCAUCGUUCUGCAGAUUGACAAUGCCCGUCUUGCUGCUUAUGACUUUAGAGUCAAGUAUGAGACAGAGUUGGCCAUGCCUCAGUCUGUGGUGAGUGACAUUCAUGGGCUCCACAAGGUCAUUGAUGACACCAAUGUCACUCGGCUGCAGCUAGAGACAGAGAUUGAGGCUGUCAAGGAGGAGCUGCUCUUCAUGAAGAAGAACCAUGAAGAGGAGGUAAAAGGCCUACAAGCCCAGAUUGCCAGCUCUGGGUUGACCAUGGAGGUAGAUGCCCCCAACUCUCAGGACCUCGCCAAGAUCAUGGGAGACAUCUGGGCCCCAUAGGACGAGCUAGCUCAGAAGAACCGAGAGGAGCGGGACAAGUGCUGGUCUCAGCAGAUUGAGGAGAGCACCGCAGUGGUUCCCACGCAGUCCGCCAAGGUUGGAGCUGCUGAAAUGACUCUCACAGAGCUGAGACAUACGGUCCAGUCCUUGAAGAUCGACCUGGACUCCAUAAGAAAUACGAAGAUCAGCUUGGAGAACAGCCUGAGGGAGGUGGAGGCCCGCUAUGCCCUGCAGAUGGAGCAGCUCAACGGGAUCCUGCUGCACCUGGAGUCAGAGCUGGUACAGACCUGGGCAGAGGGACAGCACCAGGCCCAGGAGUACCAGGCCCUGCUGAACAUCAAGGUCAAGCUGGAGGCUGAGAUUGCCACCUACUGCCGCCUGCUGGAAGAUGGUGAGGACUUCAAUCUUUGUGAUGCCCUGGACAGCAGCAACUCCAUGCAAACCAUCCAAAAGACCACCAUCCACCAGACAGUGGAUGGCAAAGUGGUGUCUGAGACCAACGACACCAAAGUUCUGAGACAUUAAGCCAGCAGAAGCAGGGGGACCCUUUGGGAGCAGGCGGCCAAUAAAAGUUCAGAGGUCAAAAAAAGAGUC